GACGAACGCUGGCGGCGUGCUUAACACAUGCAAGUCGAACGCUGAAGCACCAGCUUGCUGGUGUGGAUGAGUGGCGAACGGGUGAGUAAUACGUGAGUAACCUGCCCUUGGCUCUGGGAUAAGCCCGGGAAACUGGGUCUAAUACUGGAUGCUACAUGUCACCGCAUGGUGGUGUGUGGAAAGGGUUUACUGGUCUUGGAUGGGCUCACGGCCUAUCAGCUUGUUGGUGAGGUAAUGGCUCACCAAGGCGACGACGGGUAGCCGGCCUGAGAGGGUGACCGGCCACACGGGGAAUGAGACACGGCCCAGACUCCUACGGGAGGCAGCAGUGGGGAAUAUUGCACAAUGGGCGAAAGCCUGAUGCAGCGACGCCGCGUGAGGGAUGACGGCCUUCGGGUUGUAAACCUCUUUCAGCAGGGAAGAAGCCACAAGUGACAGUACCUGCAGAAGGAGCGCCGGCUAACUACG
rnacentral:rRNA from 1 species